ACUUGAUGAUCUGUGAGGUCUCUUCCAACCCUGAUAAUACUGUGAUACUGUGAUACAGUGCUUGGAGAGGCUGAUGAGAAAACUGGGGACUGAUUUUUUAGCAGGGCCUGAUGCAUCAGGAGCGAUGGUCUUAAUGAAGAGGGAGAUUCUGACUGGAGAGAAGAGAGAAAUUGUUUACACUGAGGGGGAUGAGACCCUGGGGCAGGUUGCCCAGAGAAGUGGUAGAAGCCCCAUCCCUGCCACCAUUCCAGGACUGACACCGACCUGUGCACACUUCCAGGACUAUUUCGAGCAGUGCCCACCGGCAGGAAAAGCUGAGGUCCUCUCUGACACCAAGCCAAACAAGCUGGAAGAGCUCCUCCCAGUCUUUCUCUCUAAACUGAGCUGUAGCAGAUGCGACAGAAAACAAACCUACUCUGGGAUCAUAGAACUUUAGAGGUUGGAAGGGACCUCGAGAGAUCGUUGAGUCCAACCUCCCUGCCAAGACAGGAUCACCUAGGGGGGUCCAUGCGGGAAGGCAUCCGGGCGGGAUACUCCACACACCCUCCCCCCCGCUUCCUCUUUAUUUGUUUGAGCUCACAGCGUCAUUUUCUGUGCACCUCUUCAUUCCUUAGCAAAUAAAUUCGGGGUCUGUUCGGUUUAAA